CCCAAGCAAAAACCUCAUACUGGGCCUUAAACCCUAAAAAAAUACACAGCAAAUGCGAUUUACAAAUUUCUCUCUCUAUCUCUCUCGCUCGCUCUCUCUCUCUUAAAUGUUCAGUCGGAGGAGGUUUCUGUCGUUGCCCAUGGUUGUUGGAGCAGUCAUAAUUGGAGUUGUUUCUGGGAAAGCAAUAUUUGGACCCCCACUAGAAGAAUAUUGGAAAAAGAAGCUUGAGGAAGAGGCAGCAGUAAAGGAAACUGACUCAAACUCCACUUGAAAACAGAUUUUGUCCAACGAAUUCCUCAAAGCAUAUGUUUGUUUCGGGAGAAGUGGGUGACUAACAGGAUCAUACAUUUGUUUACUCGAGUUUGUACUCCAAGGAAGCUUGUACUAUCAAUAUGUAAGUCUGGAUUUUCGCAAUGGUGAAGUCGUGGUGAACUGCAAUUGGGUCUUCGGCUAACAUCAGUGAAGGGAUAAAAUAAACCAAAUCUGAUUGUUUCCGGGUGAAGUAUGUAGGAACAUAUAUGAACAACGUCCAAGGCAGUGUUGUUUCUGGAACUUGCUAACAUUGUCAGUAUAAUGCUUUUAAGUUGAAUUUAGCACCUUAUUUUAUUACUUUUUUGCGAGGCAAAGACUUGCGAAGAUUGCAUGUGCCUUGUAUAUGGGAAAAUUAUAUCAGUGCCUUGACUGUUUUGAAUAAGAACAUGGCUUUUAGUUUGCCAACCUGACUUAUUUCAAAUAAAAAUCAGGCAUACCAUUCUUGCUA